AAUGGAGUAGGGAAAAAUGCGUUAAGUGUUGGCAAGACGGAGAGUUGUUUGCCAAACGAAUGGAUUAAACAUCCAGCGGUAUUUUUCUCGCAUCUCGCCGUU
rnacentral:ncRNA from 2 species